GGCGGGUGCCGAGCCGGCUGCGGGCCCCGGGCGAUCGGGCGGUGGGGCGCUCGGUGCGCCCUACACCCGCGCCGGCACGCGCUGGGCUCGGAAGGGAAAUCAGUCAAUCACGCGACUGCCGAGAUGUGCCCUUGGCUGUCCGCCUCUGCGGGCCUCUCCUGGCUUUGAGGAUGGCCUCAAACCUUCCGAAAGGAGGGGACAGGCUCCCCGCCUCUCUCCUUUCGCCAGCCCUUGUAGGACCCAGGGUAGCACAAAAUCAGAACUGAUCCCAGCCUGCCUGAAUAGGAGAAUGCAGAAAAGGCCACUGGAGGCUUCCAGAUGCCUCUGUUGUGACAGAAACCGAUCAGAGUGGCUUAAAGGAAGGCCAGCUGUGAGCUAGAAGGAGGCCAGGGUGACUCGCAGAUCCCCAGCAGCAAAAAAGGAGCCGGGACCCAAAGAAGGCUGAACACUGAAGACCCAGGCAGGGGCUUUGUGUAGCCCCGCUUUCUCUCCCCUUGCUGGGGUGAGAACUUGGAACCCAUGCGUGCUAGGCAAGCGCUCUGCCCCUGGGCUCGUCCCAACCCACCCCCAUCUGCAUCUCACUUCUAGAUUUUCUCCCUGUGCAUUGCCUGGGCAUGAGGAGGGUAGACCCGUGUCCAGGGUCUCUUCUGUCCAGUUGCAAGGAAGGACUUGGAUGCCCACCCCAGCCAGCGUGUGAGCCCAGCUGUGCCAACCCUGCUGACGACAGCCCCCGGAGCUAAAGGGGGUGGUCGGGUGCAUCACUGUGGGUUGGACAGUGUCCCAAAGAAGUGUCAUAUUAAACAAUAAACACUUCUAUCCUGCUGCCCAGGCUUGCCCUUUCCUGCUUCCUCUCGCUCUCCCUCACUUUCUUUCUUUUGUUUCCUUUUUUCUUUUUCAAUACUGGAUCUUGAACCAGGGCCUUCACACAGAACUACAUCCCUGACCCAUUUUUAACUUUGAGACAGUCUCACUAAAUCAGUAAAUUGCCUAGGCUGGGCUCCAACUUGUGAUCUUCCUGCGUCAGCUUCCCAGAUUGCUGGGAUUAGAAGUGUGCACCCCCAGGCCCAGCUUGUGCGUUUCUUUCUUAGUUGUAGUAGCUAAGAUAGGUAUAGGGCUCACCAGAUGCCAGCCACCCUCAUGAGCACUUUGCCUAUGCUGAGUAAUCUAACGAC
rnacentral:lncRNA from 1 species